ACUUGGCUUCUCCCUGCUCUUAACAGAUAGGCCCCUCUUGGCUUGCCAGCCCCUCCAGCUGGUGGGGUGGAUAUACAUGACAGAAUUAUUUUCUAGGCUAAGCAGAAACUUCCUGUCCCAAAGUCUACAAAAGUCAGCAGAUAAACAGUGAUGGAUUUCAGUGGAUACUGACUAGGGUAAUUCACUAAGUAAUUGUUCCUUCUAAGGCAGCAGCAGAAAAGCAAACAGGCUGGACAAGACAAAAAGGAUGAAGGAAGAGACAGAGUGAGAGCACCAGUGGAGCAACUGAUUUCCCAUCAUAUCAUCUCAUUUCAUUAUUACCAGAAUCAAAUAAGCAAAAAACUCACACAUCAGGCUUUUAUAAUCAUGAGAGCUGAGAAUGAAUGAAUACGUUGGAUUACUUUGUACUGACCUGAUGUCAGAGCCUUUACAGUGAUAGAAUUACAGACUUUUUGGAGACUAUUGAUGUCAGAAUUUGCCUUUAACUCAUGCAAGUAAGAAAAAUAACCUCACCUAAUCAUAGGAAUCUACAGCUAGGUCUUUAAGUAUAAGUGCUUAAACUGUGCACCCAGUUCAGUGCUAUACUCAUUGCUGUCUCCUGAGGUUUGAAAAUUAAUUAUCAUUAAGCAAGGGGCAGAAUUAAAUACAGAAGAACCAAGGUAAGAUCCAGUUGCAGAGAGUGGUGGUUUUGGCGCUGGGACUUAAAAUGGACUCUACAGUACGUGUCACCAUAGUAUGAUGAUGCUUUCAUUUUCUUGUUUCCCCAUCCAAACAGACUCAAGU
rnacentral:lncRNA from 1 species